rnacentral:tRNA from 1 species
GGGGCUGUAGCUCAGUGAUAGAGCAUGUGCUUUGCACACACAAGGUCCUGGGUUUGAUCCCAAUUCCCCA